AAAACAAAAACUUUUAGUACUUCUCAUUCUUCUGUAAAGCAGUUCUUAAGGAACCAUUAACCAUAUAUUCUGUCACUGUUGCCACAGAGCCACCAGGACCAUCGAGAACAACACCAUAGAAUGCCACAACAUUGGGAUGAUGCAAGUCAGCAAGCUUAAUUGCCUCAUUCCAGAAAUCAUCAAUCUAGUCAAAUGAAUUCACCACAGUACAAGCUAUUAGCAAGUGAAAUUACAAAGUGGAACUAAUAUGGAUAAAUAGGAAAUUGCAAAGAGAAAAUAAAGAGCCAAACCAUGCGCUCUUGUUCAGAAGGUUUCCCUGCAAAACAUCUAUCAUUGAUCCGUUUGAUUGCUACAUCAGUACCUCGCCACUUCCCAUGAUAAACAGUACCGAAGGUGCCAGAACCUAGUUCUCGCAGCUCUUCAAGGUCAAUGUUUUUUAUAAUCUGAAAAUGUAUAUAAUUAAAUUCAUGAGCGAAAGGAGUUAACAAAAAAACAAACAUCACAUGAAAGCAAUGAUUCAACCUGCAAGCAACCGAUGCCAUCUGAAACUCGAAAGCCAAAAUUUGUUCUGUCUGGUUGUUUGGUCUUGAUUUCCUGAGUUAAGAAAAAAAAAACAAGAUGUUCAAUGAAUAUAUCUGCAGAAGGCAGCCGCAAUUUUUUUUAGAGAAGGAAAUGGGGAAAGGAGGGGGGGGGGGGUGGGGAUGGUGAGGACAAUGGGCAUACAGAUAGAGAAUGAAGAGAUGCACACCUCAAAUUUAGCUUUAUGUUGCAUUUCAAUGUUUCUAGUUGAACCAUCUAUCUCUUGAUUGCCCUCAAAACCAGAUGCAUCAGUUGCUGCUGGUAUGUCAGGAGUGGAAGGGGUAGAUGACUGGAAAACAGAAGCAGCUACUCCCUCAGCAACAGCUUGUAGUUCUUUCUUGAUGAGUUCCUCAGCUGAGCCAUUUGCAGUGAAGGCAACAAGAAGAAACAUUUAGUCCAUGCAUAAAGCGAUAAAUGCCAAUGUUUGUUGCAAACAGAAAUCAAAUACCUCACCUUUUGCGGACUGUUUUUGGUCUGAAAUGAAAUCCUUGUUUAAAUGGUUUAAUGGCUGGUAAACAUCAUCUUCCAAUUGGGCUUUAGAUUCCCCAAUAAUCACUGCCUGGUUCUCUCCAAAAGGGUCUCUGGUAGGUAAUCCUUCUCUCUGUGUUUGAAUUUUGUUAGGUCUAGGAGGAGGAAAUUGAGCAUCUUGCCGUAAAUUCCAAGGAUCUUGAUUGCUAAAGAGUGAAUCUGAGGAAUCCAAGACAUCACCACCUCUAUUAGAUGGUGAAAAGGAAGAUCGGGUAUUAGCAUUCAAAGGAGCAGCUUCAGUGCCAUUUAGUACAAUCUUCUGCUGAGUCCAUGAAACGUCAUCCAAUUUAUGUGCCGAUUGAAGACCAGAAAAUGGAGGGUUCCCAUAUUGAACUUCAAGGGAAUCCAAGUUUUGAGCUCCAACUUUGGGUUGUGAAUGUGUCACUACAUUAUCCAAAAUAACUAUCUCACUGGAGUCUAUUGGUUUGUUAAAGAUAUUAUCCAAAGGCACCUCUCUCCCUGCUAUUUGUGGAGAUCUCUCAUCCAAGGCAUCUUUUCUGGUUUUGUAAACAGGUGAAUUACCCUGCUCAUUGCUUAUCCGAAGAGCAUCCAUCAUCCCAUUAAUUGGGAUCAGACGAUUAGGGUCUACAAUAUCCAUUUUGGAGACAGCAGGAAUAUUGCCAUGAUAUUCUCUGGAGGCUUCAGCCACUUGCUGUUCAGAAGCUUGAAUGCCAAUUGCCCCAGGAUGUGGAACAUCCUGUUUAAGCUGGUAUUGAGUCGGCAAAACAUACUGUGAUUGUAAUUCACCUGCCAUACCCAUUAAACCCUGACUUGCUGGAAUUCUAGGAUGAUCGGAAUUAUCAGUUCUACAUUCAUUUUGUGCAUCAAGACCUUGAGAGAAUCCAACUGCCUCUGAAUGAAGUCCUCCAACUUGAUGAUCAACGUGACCAAGCUGUCGAAACCCAGCUCCUUGUUCAGCAAUGCCAUCCCCUAAUGCUCCAGAUACCACAACCCUGUUUACUGGUGAAAUUUUCAUACCAUCUUCUGGACGCAGACUAUGAUAAGUUGAAUUCGUAUUAACCAGAAGUGUUCCACUGCUAUUUCUUGUAUCCUUUACCAAAGGAUCAGAAUGUGCAUGAGGCAAUGCCUUCUGACACAUACAGCAGUCUUCAAGCCUUGAGAUCUUCUCAGGAGUAGUUGCUUGGUGCUGAGGCAAGGAUCCAUCUGACAAGAGAACAUGCUCAGUUUGUGGAAUACAAUGCCAGGCAUAACCUCCUCCAACCAUUGCGGAUGGAAUCUGGGCUUGAUAAACAUUCUGGUUCCGUUCGACAGGAAGCUGAACUAUCUUUGUACCAAAAGCACUUUCACCAGGAUGACUCUCCAAUGGAAUUUGUUUGGGUUGCAACAGUGGCUGAACCACUGCUGGUCUAAUACCAGCAUGGGAAGCGGAGGGAGUCAUUGUCAUGUGCAAAGCAGGAAUGAACUGAUGAGCGGUAGCAUUGUCACAAAAAUGCUGUUGGCUGAAUACAGAAUCAGUAUUGCCCACCAACUGGGGACUUGAGUAACCCAUUUGAGGUGCAAGAUGCACAUAAUCAGAACGGUUCAUAACAUCAUGGCGAGGAUCAAUAUAUGCAGAUGCAUAGUGUAGCGGUGAAUCAUAUCUCACUUGCUGCGGUGCCGAAGUGAGGGGCAUCGACCUCUCUAACUCAACCUCAGGUUGAGAAGACAAUGUUUGUGGAGGAGCAGAUUUAACCACUGGAAUUCCUAAAUGAACAGCAGAAGCAUCUGGAUAAGCAGCAACAGGAUUAGGAUCCGGAGCCAUCAUUUUUGGACCAGUAUCAUGAGAAGUAGCUGAAUUCCCUCCGGGUGACAAGAUGUUUGACGGUGGAGGCCCCCCAACAUCAACCUGACCAGCACCAAUGCUAUCAACAGCCUCAGUCCCACUAACAUCAGAAUUCCGUGUUGAAGCAAGACUUGCCAUGCUCUCCUUCCGUGUGAAGCCACAAGAAGCUCCUUCCACAAUUCCAUUCACUGCCUCAACAUAUUUCUGCCCAUUGUCAUUUAAAUCCCCAAAUUGAACCAAACCAGAAGGAUCGAGCUCCGAAGCCGAAAACAAAAAUACCCUUAAUUUAGCUGAACCAUCUGAAGACCUUUCAACCACUUUGUCAUACUCAUCCAUCAUAUUAUCUAGAUCAUCCAAGGAAGAAAUGGACACCAAUGCAUCAAGAUCCUCAUCAGGAAGCUGGUACUUAAUAACCACAGGUUGCCCAUAAGCAUCCACCAUUUUUUGCACAAAUUCAUUAAAACUCACAUCUCUCCGAAGACUAAUAAUCCUUGUCUGCCCCCCAACAUAUCGCAACACCCCAUCACUAGGUCUAGGCAAUAUCUUUCCCCCAAAACUACACAAAAUCUUAACCUUUUUUCCUGACACCGAAUCACCCCCGCCCUCAUCACUCACCUGAUCAGCCCCACUGCCAUUGCUUCUAAGUCCUAAAUUUGGUUUAUAAGUAAACCCACCUGACAAUUCAUUAUUCAACUGAUCAAUCUCAUUACCACUACCCCUGUUUCCAAUAUUUGAACUCUGUCCAAAACCUGUUGACGCAAUAUCAUUACUCGCCUGAUCACUCCCAUUCCCACAAUUUCUAUUGCCCAAACUAGGACUAAAACCUUGCCCAGCUACCACAUCAUUACUGACCUGAUCCACAGCAUUACCAACUACCAUAUUGCUCAAAUUGGGAUUAUAACUAAACCCAACAACCGGGUUUAUACUUGGACGCCCCACUGGCACAGGCACAUGCAUAGGCAUGGGCAUGGGAGGCCUCCAUGCAGGGGCACCCGGUGCCAGGGGCACUGCAUUUGCAUACCCUAAACCUACAAAACCAGCAUUAGCCAUAGUUGCUGGAUAAAAGCCAGGCAUGGUACCAGGACUUCCAGGCUCCCGAGAUGGGUUGGGAAAGAACCCUUCAAUAUUUCUACCACUGACAUUACUAGUAGCUGCAAUGCGGGGCUCUUCAGUUACAGUUCUAGCUACAUUCAAUGGUCUUAGAUCUUUUGGAAUUGCGCUGUGAUCAAAUGCCAUAAUCUAGAACACAGGAUUCAGCUAAAUGGGAUAUAAGCUUAGAUUAGUGCAAAUCAAGUGCGGAAGAGAUAAACGUAGGGUUUUGGUUUCUGGGUUUUGUUUAUUUCCUUAAAAACAUACUAGAAUUCACAUAAAAUCUCUGAGAAACAGAAAUAAAACCUCUUUUACAUAAAAGGGUAUUUUCUAAAAGCAAAAAACAGAGCUAAAAAAGAAGAAGAAAAUAUUAAAAAAAUGAAGACUAAUAAGUACCAGAUUCAAGGGUGAGAGAGAGAGAGAGAGAGAGAGAGAGUUAUGGGAGUAGAAGAGACAGAGAAACUGGGUCGGCGGUGGUGCUGGGCCGCCUUUGAUUCAGGGCAUUUUCAGCGCUUUCGUUUAAUCGGUUAACUCUCCUUUUGUCUCUCAGCUUCCUAUCUACCUCUCUUUCUCUCAGGAAAUCCAGUCUUCUGGGUUUUAUUUUGUUUUGAAAAGAAAAUUCACCACGGCCCUUUGUUGUUGUUGUUUUUUUCCCUUUUCUGGGGGUUUUGAUUUUCUCGAGAAAACCAAGGGGAUUGAAACUGACUGGCAGUGACCUAUUCUUUCUUUCUUUUUUUCCAAGUUGCGAGGGGUAACGAAAGAGAGAAAACAGAGAUUAGGGGUGACGGCACGUGGAUUGUUUCAUGCAAAUUUUCGGUCAAAAUCGUAGGAUGAUUUUGAUUUAUGAGAAUAAAAGAUAGUGACAAGUUCAAUUUCUAUAUUCUAGAUUUUGGUGGUGGGCUCUGCCUUUUGAUCCAUUUUCCUCCCUCCGAUUUUUUUAAUUUAAACAUGGUUGAUGUUUUUUUUAUAUUAAAACAUAAUUACAUCAAGCAUCUAAAUAUAUUUCCAUCUAAAAUUUUAACAAUGAUACAUAAUUUAUAUUAAAAUCUCAAUUUUAUAGUUAAAUCACAAUUUUAUUUACUAAGUUUUCUUUAAGUUAUUAUUAACUAAAAUAUCUCAAUUCUCUAGAAGAAAAUGUCAAUUCUUAAAUAUAAAUGAGUCCCUCAAAUCUUUGAAAAUUCCACCCAACUCUCGUAUGCAACCUGGGCUAAAAUCUAUACAUAUUAUUACGUGGCAAAUUCAUACUAUUUAACUACUUUUCUUUUCAUUUUUUUGGAUUAAAAAUGUUGGAUGACUAUUUCUAUUUCACUAAUAAAAUAUAAUCAAAGCUAAGGAUUUAAUUCAAAUUUCUUCAUCCAAAUACUUUUUAAUUUCAAAAACUAAAUUUAAUCUUGUCUUCUAUGUCCAAGAAAAAGAGAAUAAUAUAUUUUAUUACUUACAAAAAGAAUUUUCAAUUUCUAAAUAUGUUUUUUUAUUCUUAAAACAUUUAACCAAAAAAACAUAAAUUAAAUGAUAGAAAGACCAAUGGACCACAGAGGUUCAAUGCGAAUAAAUAUAAAAUCGGCUUUAAUUAUAUAAACCUUAGCCAUCUUUUUGUAAUAUAUAAUUGAUUAUUGACAUUUACGUUAUAAGUAAGGAAAAAAACCUUUUAUAAUAAAAAUUGUUAAAUUUAAAUUUAAAUUUCUGAUAUGUUUUAAACUGUUGAGUUGUUUUGUGAAAUAAAUUUAAUCCUAUAUAUAUUUAUAUUUAAAUCAUAUAUAAUAUUAAUCCACUAGACAGACCAAACGAGAUGUUGGGGGAUGCAACAACAAUUCCAGCUUUUCAGUUGUUUAUUUUCAUUUGACUAAAGCCAUUAAUUAUGGAAUUGGCUGUGGUUAUUAUUUUAUAUGUACCUUGGGGAACAGUUUAUUUUUUUAUUUUUUGAGGAAAAUCGUGGACAGUUUGUUAGUUGAAGCUCUUUUCUGUAUUACUUCUUGGAGUUAUUUUAUAUAAUUAAUAAUAAAAAUUUUAAUUUUACAAAUAAAUUAGAGAAUAUCACAUAUUCUUUUCAUGUUUGGGAUCAUUUCUAUUAAUUAUUUCUUAAACUUUUUAACCAAUUUUAAUUAAUUAAUUAAUUAAUUAGCAAUAAAAUAACAAUUAUAAGUAAAAAAAUGUAAUGAAAAAGUACUGCAGCACAUGCAUUUUAUUAUUAUUUAAAGUUGGAGAUUGAAAAAUAAAAUCAUACCUAAAAGGUUGUUUUCCGCGGGGAAACCGCGUCUUUGUUAUUAUCAUAUAAAAUUAAAUUAAAAAUAAAGAUAAAAGACAAAGACACGAUAAAAAUAAUAAUAACUACUCCUAUAUGCAAAUCCACUUUGAAUAAGAUAAGGUUGCUCGACUUUAUUGAUGCAAAGUUUCCAAAGUACACUUAUCUUUUUGUCUUUCUUAGCAUACAAUUCAAAAUAUAAAUUAUAUUUAAUAUAUUUAAAAUAUAUAAAUAUUUCUCAUUAAUUAUUUGACCAUGAAAUCAUUAAAAAUACAAGCUGUUAUAUAUUUUUAAAUUUUUAAUUAUAUGAAAAAAUAAUUUAGUAAAACUCAAUGUACAGUUAAAAGUGACGUGGGAGUUGCAAUUUCAUGUUACACUUCAAUGUUGAUAAUUAAUAAUAGACUAAAGUUAUAAAAUAAAAUAAAAUAAAAAGUAUAUAAUAAACUAAAAAGUAAUGAAAGAAAACUCAACCAUGUGUAAGAGGAUGAUUAAAAAUUAAAAAAUAAAAAACAGAACAAACACGUAGAAUGACAAUACCUGAAUUACUUUUUCAUUACCGUGUUAAUCUCGUCGAUGAUAGACAAAGCAUCAAAUAUAGUAAAUCAUGAAUAAAUGGACCGAAAGUGAUAUUAGUUAGUAAAUCUAAUGGUAUUGAUUGAGACGCACAUAUAAUAUAUGGUCUUUUUUUAUGUAUUAGAUAUUAAAUGUAUGUAAAAGCUUGGUUUGGAAUGUCUUUCACUAGUUUUGGUGGGACAUAAAGUGCUUCCUAGAAAGUUCGCUAGAAUCAAUGAAAGAUUUGAAACUUCACACGUUUAUGCUAUCGUUUCGGUCUAUCACACUGACACCAUGAUAUACAUUGGUCUCAUGUUGGUUUGCCCUACAUUAUCCAAUUCUUACGUCACUUGAAGAACAAAGGAUUAUUUGAUUUGAAAUGAUGAAAUUUUGCUACCAGUCCUAAUAAGAAUAAUGUUGCUUUAAUGAUGGAAUUUUGCUACUAGUCCUAAAUAAGAAUUUUGUUUGUUAGUUUACUGUUAGUUAGUCAGCUAUAAUAUAACUUAGUUUUAACUAACUCCAUGCAAGUUAAGCUAUCUUGAGUGUUUUUUUAUCCAUAAAAAAACUUUGAUAUAAGAAGAAGUUACAAAUAAAAGGAGUGUUUUUUUGUACAACUCUAAUACAAAUGAAAAUUUUUUCAUUUACGUCAUUUAAAAUUUUAAAUUAAUAAAGUUAAAAUUAUACUUUGAUUUUUUAAAAAUAAUAAAAAAUUAAUUUAAUUUUUUAAAAAUUAUAAAGAUAAGGACUAUUAAAAUAACAAAAUUAUAUUUUUACUAUCGUAAAAAUUACAAUUUAAUCUUAGCCUGCCCUAAAUUUUUUUUCUAAUUUUGUCCUUGAUAGAAAGUGAAUACAUUUAUCAACAAGUCAUAAUUUGGGUUUCAAAAUAAUCAAAGUUUGUUACCAUAAAAGUACAAACAUUAAAAUUAACCAAAUUAAAAUAUAAUAACUAAAUAUGCAGCAAAUUUUGAAUAUGAAAUCUAUCCUCUACAACAUUGGCUUCAAAAUUAUAUUUACGGUGUAUUUUUUAUUUUUACAAUAAAACAAACAUACAUCUUGUUGGAUAGAAUGUUAAAAAAAUUCAAUCGAUUGAAUAUUAAUAUUUUUAACAAUUUAAUUUUUUAAGCACGUUUGAUAAUCAAUCAUGAAACUAUUAGAUAGAGUUUUUUUUCUAAUAAGCAUAGAAAAUGAUAAGUAAGAUUAUUUUAUUUUAUUUACGAUUAUAUUAUCAUUUUAUCAAACAAUUUAAUUAUAUUUAAUUUUAAAUAAAAUAUCAAACAUAUUUUAUAAUUUAAAUUUAACACUUAAUUUUUCAAUAAUUAUUUUUUUUAAUUUAUCACACAAAUUACAGAAAAAAUAUCAGAUUGCAUUGGUGAAUGGAAACCAGAACCUAAAUUGAAUUAACAAAUAUAAUGAAAUUAUUAUAUACAAAUAAAUUUAACAAAAAUAAAACACAAUAAAUUCAACACAAGAAAACACAAUAACCCAUCAAAGGCCUAAGCACGUUGCUUUUUUCCUUUUUACGUGUAAGCCAUGAUUUCUCUUAAAGUAGCAGCCGAAGGAGAUCGUGGCAACCUAGAUGUAAAAUUUCUGUUAGGAAACUCAUUAAUUUGACUAUCUUCACCUCCAUUAUCGAAAUUCAACGCAUAACUCGACGGAUUGUAUUGAAAAUCUAUUGAGCGUCGUCUUCUGUGAAUAAAAUUAUAAUUAGGAUUAUGGUUACGACGGUAAUUAGGAAAAUCAUGUCCAAUACGAGUAAUCAAAUUACGACAUUUGUGUUUAAAAGUUUUAGGACUUGAAAUAGGAGUUGAGUGAGGAGUAAUUGGCACACUCGAGAUAUGUUGAUUGUGGUCAUGGUGGUUGUGGUGACGGAGCCAUUGAAGAGAAGAUUUUAACUUUUGCUUUAAAGAUGGAUAAAUUGAUUCGUUUUCAUUGCUCAUUAUUUUAUCUUAUAUUUUUUCACUUUUCUUAUAAAUAAAAGAAAGAAAAACUUUUAUUUAUAUAUUUUUCAAAAAUGGUGGAAAUUGAAAUAGUGUAGGGAUAAGAUAAAAUUACCAAAAAUUGUACGAAUCCUACGUAAAUAAAGGAACAAUUAAGAGGUUAUUAUUUGGAGAGUUAAAAACUAAUGUUUUCUGUAAUUUUAGGGGAAAAUUCAGUGUAGAUUAAAGAUUUUACUGUUUUUGUGAUUUUGUAAUUUUAGGGGAAUAUUUCUUUAUUUAAAUAUAUUGUAUUUAGCUUGAAAUUCGAUUUCUAUAACUAAUAUGAUUUUUCAGUUAAAUAAUAAAUUUUUAUUUUUCCAUUUUAAGCACAAUCAUAAAAAUAAAAAAUAUAUAUAAAGAAUAGUUUAUUAUUUAAAUUAAUAGUGAACUUUAAAAACAAAGUAAUGAGAGAUUUAUUUAAAAAUAGAGAUGCUUUUAAGAGUAAUUAAUUAUAUUAUUGAUAUUACAUAACAAUUCUAAGUCUUUUUAAAAUAUUGUUGAUUAAUAUAUAAAAACUCGGAUAAAUAAAUGAUAAUAUAUAAUUAUCAUUAUUAUUAUUAUCACAAAUCUUCCGCUUUUUUUCCGUCAAGAAAAGCGAUUACGUCUACCGGCUGCUGAAAACAGGCUUAUCAAGCUGCAGUCUGACCAAUAAUUUAAAUAUAAAUAUCAUUAAUGAUCAUUUUUAAAGUCUGACUGAAUGGCUUUUCUGUUAUACAAAGAGAUUAUCGUAUUACUAAUCAUCUAAAUCAACCCAAAAUCUGUCGUGAUAAUGAAAUUGGUUACUAUAGAAAAGGGAUUAAAUUCAAGGAUAAGAUAUGUAUUUAAAUUUAAAUACAAUAGUAACAAUGAAUUACGAAAUAAAAAAUAAUUAAAUGUAUAUCUAAUCAAUAAUUAAAAUCUAUUAAAAUUAUUUAUAUUAGAUUAUAAAAUUAAAAAAUUAAAAAAUUUAUUUAUACUAAAAUAAUUAAUUAAAAAUAUAAAUAUAUAUAAAAAAAGCUUUCGAUCGAGUUCGAGUGAAUUCGCUCGAUCUUUUGAUGGCAAAUGUAUCUUAUUUUAUUUAAAUGUAAUAAAAAUAUUUUUUUUAGUUUAAAUAGUAGAUGUGGACAAUCGGAAUCGCAUAUUAAUUUAUAUAAUUUUAUUUUAUGGUUUGACAUUAAAUAAAUGUUGCAUGUGGAUGGCUUGGAACCAUUUUAAAUAACUGGAAACCGACAAAAUAUAUGGAAUAAAAGCUUAUUAGUUCAAACUAGAAAGCCAAACUUGAAAAUAAAAUUUGUUCAAACUCAAUUUAUUUACGGCCAUAUUCGAAAACUUGAUUUAAACUCUCAGAUAAGGAGUUAUGGCUCUUAUUUAUUUGAAUACUGUUAAAGCAUUCAAGCAACUGCUUCAGCAGCAGUGGAGACCUUCUGGAGGACAAAUAUAGGAUCUCCCACUUUAACCAGCUUUGCCUUCCCUUCAGUCAAACUUUCCUUGCAAACCAUGUUCUGCCCGAAAUAGAUCUGCAAUUCAUCAGAACGUACUCAAAACGGAUCGUUUGCGGGUGAGAGGGCAUUACAGCAAAAAAAAUGUUCCGAAUUUUCAUCUUAGUGGUCUUACCUCUCCUUGUUGUUUCUUGUCCGGUCGCAAGACCUUACCGGACCUGUAUUUCAUAAGAGUUUCAUUCGGCUCUGGACCAGCAAUUGCGGUGUCUUGAUUGAUUGUAGGCACCUGAAUAAUGCACCAUCAUCUUUUUAAACAUUAACAUGCUUAAGCAUAUGAUAUAUAGUUAUUAAUAUCGUAAGAUACUCUAUAUGUAUAGUUCAAUACGAUUCGAUUCACAAUCAAAAUCACUAGGUAUCUAUAUAGAGAACUGGUUUUUAGCAUUGAAUACCUUGAAAUCCAUUGCAAUUUACAAUAUUCUUAAGAUAACAGUACUUCUCGUAAUAUAAGCAGAAAAUGCAGAAAGGGUAGCUUUUAUACCUUACAGCGGGAGCAUAGUCUCACGCCUUGAAAUGAAAAUUGGCUUAUUUUAAUCUCAGUCCAUAGGUCUUCGGAGAACGGUUCACAGCCGUCAACAAGGAUGCUAUAAUGAGCACAAAAAAUUAUGUAAUAAAGUUGUAAAUAAUACAGAAAAAGAGUAAAGCAGAGGUGAUUAAACUUAAACAAAUGUUUUCCAUUGGAAAUAACAUGAGAGAAUAUUGAAAUUUAGAGGAUUAACUGGAUCCUGAUGAAAGGACAUGCUAAAUAAAAACCAAAAGACAUGGUAUGAGCCUGAGAAAGGGGCGAAAAAAGUACUUGGGUCUGAAACGGUUCAUGGGUACAGGCUCCUUCAGAAGCUUGUUCAGUUCGUCCAAAGAUCCCUGCAAGAAUUUGUACUUAUAAUAUCAAGUUUAAGCUUUGUUAAUUUAUAUUGAUGUCAUCAUCAUCAUCAUCAUCAUCAUCAGUUAUGAAAAAAAAAACCAUUGUUUCCAAAACUAACCUGAGAUACUAACAUGAAAGGGAACAUGUCAGAAAACAUUAUGGAAUACCCUUGAGCAUACACAGGAUUCACAGGCCUAGUUUCUGAUGCUGCAUUUAUUAAAUAAUGUUGUAACCAAAUUGUUAGCCAUAUAAAUUGGAGACUUAAAAACUAUCUUAAUAUGCAAAGCUAUCACAACAUGGCUGUAGAAUUUAUAUAGUUAAUUGAAAUCAAACCAACCUGCAUUAAAACGAACCAUCCUACUGGGUUUCCCGAGAUAAUUUGUAAACCAUUUUGAAGCCUCAUCACCCUCAUCUAAUGCAGAGCCGGACCACUCCCAAACUGAAACACCAUCAGACACUUUUGGUGGUUUGCAAAGAGAAAUCUUGAGUAAAUCCAUUCCGGGUGCUUUUAUUUCUGCGAAUGAAAGCAUAUAAUGGUCACGACUCAUGAAAAAUAAAAGGAAAUAGGAAAUCACAAUUUGAAUGCUUUAGACAAUUUGCCUGCAUAAAACAAAUAACUCAUACUAAGAUUUCUACUAUUAGAGAUUUGAUAGUUUGUCUCAUACAAAUAAUUUUGCCAUGUAAAAACACACUAUUCUGUUUAAUAUGAGCAUUAUAUAAUGCAAUAUCUGCAGUAACUAAGUUGUCUUAAAGAUUAAUGAGGUACAGAUAAUGAUGAGUUGGUUUACCCAAAUAGGAGGUCUUGGUAGGUUCCCAGCCCUCUGAAAAGGCCUCAGCUGGCAGGUUCACCUCAACUAGAGCAAGCUUUGGUUCAACCCUUUGAGUAUAUGCCCUGCCUCUCUGAUUCACAACAAGCCAUUGCCGAUCCCAUCGAAACCCUGUACAUGCAUCAACAGAGGAACAUAAGAAAUAAAUCAGCCAUGCUUGCAAGUUAGCCAUGGAGAAUAAAUUGAACAAAUUGACAGAUGGUUGAGGCAACUGGAUACGCCAAAUCAAGCUAACUACACUGUUUAAGAAAAUCAAGAAUAAUUCCCAAAAUUACAUAAAAAAAGUGAUCCAAUAUAACAAGCACUGUAGCUAUCACUUAAUCAUAGUUAUUGUUUCUAAUGUUAUUUGGGUUAAGCUAAUGAACCAGUGAUAAGACAGAAAACUAUGACUGGGAGUGAGGUUAAAAAUUUUGGGAAUAGCACCAAAAAAAAAGCAAUAAAAAAUAAAAAUGAAAACCAAAAUUUCCUUGUAAGUAUUAAAGCUGGAGUUGCAGAGAAAUACAUUAAGACAGUGUUAGCAAAUGAAGUGCAGGUGAAAACACCAUAAUAUAAGAACAACAAGGCUAAUAAUUGAUAAAUAUAAAGCGCAGAAAAAAACUCACAGCCGGGACCUUGAAGAGAUGGAAAAAAAAGGAGUACCAGUAGGAGUGAGGGGUGCAUGUGGAACAGAAAUUCCACGGCAUGAUUUUACGGGAUAGAUAAAGAUUGAUGAUAUCUUAGCAUCAGCAACAGCAGCAGCAGCAGAUGAUGCAUCAGUCUUCUCCAUGCCUCUUUCUUCUUUCGGACAAAGAGAUAAUCUUGAGUUUCCAAGCAAAGACAGGUAGUCUGUAUGUUUAAGAAGUCGUCUUCUUAAAAACCGCUGUCUUUGAACUCGAUUCCCUAUCAAACCACAUGAAUUUCAUUUCUUUUACAUGGAAACUUCCAAACUGAAUUUGGAUUUUUGCACAAUGGGAUCAGAACGGUGGACCGCCCUCUAUACAAAGUGGCCCUGCCUCCAGGCCCACACCCUUUUCUAACAUACGUUACUAUUUUCUUUUUCCUUUUUCGGUUACAAUUUCCAAGAGGGCAAUCCAAUUGUAACCCCCAUUUUAUUUUAAAAUAUGCUUUUACCUCUUUCAGAUUUAUUCAUUCUUUUUUAUUUUUAAAAUUUUAAUUUUAUUUUAAAAUUUAUUUAUUAAAUUUAUUGAUGUGAUAUUUUAAAAUAAAAUAAAUAUUUAGUGGUUAUAUAAUAAAAAAUAUGUUACGGGAUAGAAUAAUAGCAGGAAAAAAAAUUAGCUAAAAUUAAUUUAGUUACUGAAAAUAGGGAGUUUUAGAUAUUAGUUAAACGGUGAGUUUUAGUUGUUAAUUGGAUGGGGCGUUUUGGUGAGUAUUAGUUACUGUUUGUUAUGUUUUCUUUUGCUUGAAGUAUGCAAGUGCUGCAUGGGAAGGAAGUUGUCGAAUUACAGAAGAAAUUUGUUAUCUGUUUUCUCCUCUCUUUCUUCCUUUUCUCCCUUUUCUUUCUUCCAAAUUCUCUGCUCGAUUUCAGUUCUUCUCAAAGGUAUCAGAGCUUUCAUGAUCCCUUUUUGAUGGCCGGCGGUGGUGUUUCGACAAGGUUGCAAAAAGAGGUGAGCACGAUGCAGCAGGAAAUCUCCAAAAUCUAAGAGGAAUUCGCGCAUCUGGAGGCCAAGCUGGACUCCCAAUUACAGGAGUUCAAAACGGCGGUUCGAGGUGAUUUACAAUCGCUGUUGGUUCAGUAUUUCGGGCCACCACCAACUGGUUCAUCGGUAACUGCUGCAGCUGAUAAGGGUAAGGGGGUUUUGGGAGCUCCUCCUGGGUUUUUACCUAAAACCACCGAUUUACUGCCAGGACAGACGGAACCCUUUGUUCCGGAUGGAGGUAGUGUGCAUGUACGGGAUCCUUCCUAUGUGGCGGGAGUUUCUACUAGAACCAGUCGAUUAGAGUGUCCUAAGUUCGAUGGUAAUGAUUUUCGGGGAUGGUGGACCAAAUUGGAACAGUAUUUUGAAGCGGAAGGCAUACCUGAAGUGAGUAAGGUUCGCAUGGUGAUGUUGAACUUAGAAGGCAGAGCAUUGGAAUGGCAUCAUUUCUAUUCACAGAGGCAAGGUGGUUUGCAAAUGUUGUUAUGGCCGGCGUACAUUAAGAGCCUCCAAGAUCGUUUUGGAUGUGGGCCAUUCAGGGAUCCGAUGAGGGAGCUGGUCAACUUGAAACAGCAAUGCUCCAUUUCUAGUUUAAAAUCCAACAAUGUUGGUGUUGUUGCUAAUACCUUGCACUAUGGCGCCUUGAACACGAGCAUUGGUGCAACAGCGAUAGUUUCAAGUGGAAUUGGGUGUUUAGAUACAGGGCGAUUCAUGUACCAGAAGGGCGCAACAUUGGGUGCCUUGUUGGAAAAUGGCCAAUUUGAGAACUGGGCUGACUCUGGCCUUGCCGAUAAUAGCCAAUAGACUGACACUUCGACUGAUGUUGACACUGACCAUAAAAACCAGCUUCAUGGAGUUCAACAUGGAGCUGUAAUGGUGAAUAUGGUCCAAGUCAAAAAGUAGUGAUCAAAAGACUCUUCGCAGGCUUGCUCAGAAUCGAAAAGCUGCAAGGAAGAGUAGAUUGAGGACAAAAGCCUAUGUCCAGCAGCUUGAGAGUAGUCGACUCAGGCUUACAGAACUAUAGCAAGAGCUUCAAAGGGCACAGCAGCAGGGUAUUUUUAUAGCAUCUGGACUUUCUGGGGACCAUGGCCAUACAGUUGCGGGAAAUGCUGCUUUGGCAUUUGACAUGGAAUAUGAAGACAUACAUGCAGUCAAUAUGAGGGAAAUGAUAUUCAUAAUGAUAUAUGUCUCCUUUGACAUGAUUCUUGGUGCCUAUCUCAUUAGUAACAUGACAGCAUUAAUCGUAAAAGGAUCCAAGACAGAGAAGUUCAGAGAUAAAAUGGCAGAUGUUAUUAAGUAUAUGAACAGAAAUAAACUUGAAAGGGAUCUCCGUAAUCAGAUCAAAGGCCACUUGCGUUUACAGUACGAAAGCACAUACACUGAGGCUGCCGUUCUUCAGGAUAUUCCCAUCUCUAUUAGAGCUAAGAUUUCCCAAUCUAUAUAUCUGCCAUACAUUGAAAAUGCAUCUCUUUUCAAGGAAUGCUCUUCAGCGUUUAUUAAUCAGAUUAUUAUUAGACUCCAUGAAGAAUUUUUUCUCCCAGGAGAAGUAAUAAUGGAACAGGGAAAUGUUGUGGAUCAACUCUAUUUUGUUUGUCAUGGUGUGUUGGAGGGAAAAGAAUCCAAUCUCCGAGUUAGGCAACUGGAAUCAGACAUCUCAUUUCACAUCAGAAGACAAGAAGCUGAGCUAGCUUUGAGGGUGAAUGGUGCUGCAUAUAAUAGUGCUGCAUCAAAAGUUUGAUACGAGCGGGAGCUGAUCCUAACAAAACCGAUUGUGAUGGAAGAUCUCCCUUGUAUCUUGCUGCAUCGAAAGGAUAUGAAGAUAUUACAAGUUUCCUUAUUCGACACCCGGUAGAUAUCAAUCUUAAAGAUAAGUUCGGAAAUACACCCUUGCUAGAAUCAAUAAAAAAUGGACACGACUAAUUAAAGAAGGAGCUUCCUUAAACAUAGAUGAUGCUGGUAGUUAUCUGUGUACGGCAGUGGCAAAGGGGGACUCAAACUUUUUGAGAAGGCUUUUGUCUAAUGGGGUUGAUCCUAACUCUAGAGGUUACGACCAUCGAACCCCCCUUCAUGUAGCUGCCUCUGAGGGCUUAUAUAUCAUGGUAAAGCUUUGGUAGAGGCUGGGGCUAGUGUUUUUUUUUUCCAAAGACAGAUGGGGAAACACUCCACUUGAUGAAGCCUGAAUGUGUGGCAACAAGAAUUUGAUCAAGUUACUGGAAGAUGCAACAUGGGAGCCUUUAUCUGCUAUUCAGUCCAAAUUUCCUCAUCUUCAUCCUUGAGGUCAAGGAUGUGUUUGUGGGAGGGAGUAUUGUUACGGGAUAGAAUAAUAGCAGGAAAAAGAAUUUGCUAAAAUUGAUUUAGUUACUGAAAACGGAGGGUUUUGGGUAUUAGCUAAACGGUGAGUUUUAGUUGUUAAUUGGACAGUGCAUUUUGGUGAGUAUUAGUUACUGUUUGUUAUGUUUUCUUUUGCUUGAAAUAUGCAAGUGUUGCAUGGGAAGGAAGUUAUCGAAUUACAGAAGAAAUUUGUUAUCUGUUUUCUCCCCUCUUUCUUCCUUUUCUCCCUUUUCUUUCCUCCAAAUUCUCUGCUCGAUUUCAAUUCUUAUCAAAAUACUGAUAUAAACUUGAAUUUAACUAAAGAAUUUUAAUUGUAUUCACAAUUGUAAUUAGGUUUUAAAUCUAAGAAAUAGAAAAUUUAAAUUCCAAAUGUAAAUAUUUUAAUCUCACUAAAAUUAAGGUUAAUUAAUACUUCAAUACAAAUAAAAAAAGGUUAAUUUUGUCCUACCAAACUUUUUUUACUUUUCAAGAAAGCAACUUUUUAAGGAAAAAAAUCCCAUUACUUGUGGGAAAUAACUCAGUUACAUUCGAAAGAAAAUCAACUAAUUUUUGUUAAAUUUAUUGAAAAAUGAUAACAUUCCAUCGUAUCAAACAUCCUAUAAGAGUUCAAUAGUAAACUGUCUAAAAUCCUAUCGAGUUAAAAACUAAUCUAAAACAAUAUACGCUCUUGAUAGAUGUCCAAUGCCUCGAUAACCUUCUCGAUGAAUAGUUUCCGGUGCAAUCUGUACCUGAAUAUGUAAAAAGGUAAGAGAGACUUCAACUCGGACUGUAAUUAAGAAUUAAAACCUUAAUGCAUGAGAGGAAAAGGUAUGUUAUGUCAGAAUCACAUACUUGAUUGCUGUUUCAAGUGUCCUCCUUGCUUCUGGCAUAGAUUCUGUAGUUGUAAAAUGAAUCAAAAAUCAAAUAUAUCAGACCAUGGCUCAUGUUCUAGUUGAUAAGUAGCAGAUUUUUGAAAAUUUACAGUAAUAAACAAUAGAAGUUGUUCAUAGUGCCAGUUUAAAUGGUAAAAGUACUAUGGACGGUACUAGGAGUCAGAUUGCAUUUUGCCCCUCUACUCAACAAAUGGGCAAAAUAGUCCCUGUAUACUAGAUCAAAGAGUGAAUUGGUCAUUUCUGUUAAAAUUUUUAUUCAUUUAUACUAUUAAAAACUGACGUGACUGACAAAAUAACCGGACAGUGACCACAUGACGUGCCAUAUGUACCUCAUGCUAUUGUACAAGACUAGUUUAUAACCGUAAGAAUGAACAGAAUUUUUAAUAGAAGUAUCAAUUUGCUUUUUGAUUUAACCGACAAGGAUUAAUUUGUUUAUUUUUUAGUAGAGAGGGUAAAAUAUAAUCCAACUCCUAAUACUAGGGCCUCCAUUAUACUUUUACCUAGUUUAAACUGUACUUCAACCAUGAAAUUAUCUUAGCACUUUAUGUUUGAAGGAAUUAGGACUCUGCAAACUUUAAGACUACCGACCAACCAGUUCAAUUCUGUUGGUAACCUGAGCAUUCUAAUCUAAUUUUAGAUCGUGUAGGAAAGAAUGUUAAUUCUAUCCACUAAGAUAGAUAAAAUGUUCACCUAGUAAUUUUUGGUCUUGCGCGGAAGUUGUAGGAAACUGUGCAAGGAUCUGCUGACAUUCUUCUUGUAACUCCUUCACAGCUUUCCUUUCCAUGCUAGGGAUCAGCGGAACAUCGCCAUCUGACCAUGUGGGCAAUGUUCUUGCAGCAGCUAUGACUGCCCCGUCAACAAAAUUAUCUCCUUUAUCUGCUAACUGACCUGAAUGUUUUGUGAAUAUAAGGUGCUGAAUUUUGUAGAAAAUAUUAACAUUAUCAUUUGAGAAGUUCUGAAAAGUUAAAACUACUCAUACUGUUAUGAUAAUACUCUCCAGGGAGACCAGAUAUAUUGAAGACCGACAAGAAAGAGUCCAAGUGAACAUGUGCGUUGCCGGAGAAUGGUAUUGAAUCCCAAGGAUUCUGCAAUGUUCAGGCCUUGACUAAGUCAGGUUAAAAAAAAAGAAGAAGAAGAUUUAAAUAUUUAUAUUGAGGAUUAAGGCUUUGCUUGGUUGGAUGGAAAGAAAAUUGGAAAGAUGGAAAACUGAAGGGGUAGAAAACUAGAAGGAUAGAAAAUAUAAUUUUUCUUUCAUAAUCUCUUCAUUUUCUCUCCUCUUAUUUUUCCAAUUUGGAAGGAUUGGUUUUUAUGCGAUAGAAAAUGGUCAUCCCUCCCAUUUUCUUUUCUCUCACUUUUCUUUCAAACCAAGCACACUCAAAAUUUAUUUUCCUUCCACUUUUCCACUCCAUCCUCCAUCCCUCCACUUUUGCACCUAACCAAGCACACCCUAAAAGUUGAAGCUAAUUACCACAGAUGAUGAGAAUCCAUAUCGUUGCAUGAGCAUCUGAUUUUGCUGUCCAUUCAUGUAAUUGAUGGUCAUCUGUUAACAUUAUGGAAUUGUAGAUACAUAUCCCAUAAUGUAAAUAAAAAACACUUAGGAUCUAACAUGGUUGAUGGCUUUAAGAGGCAAACAGCAAAGACAACACAAAGCAGGCUAAACUUUAUCACAAACUAAAUGCUCCAAUAGCUACAAAGAGACCAAAAAGACUACAAAUAAACGAUGGUUGGACCGCCCCUUGAUGUUGAAAAUUCACUUGAACAACAUUAGAAUUUAAAGAGAAUAUGGAAUAACAAUACCUCCUCUCCUUUUCUAAUCCUCUGUCCAGCGUUUAUCAUCACCUCAACCAUGCGAUCCUUAAAACGCCAAUGGAGAAAACAGUUUGGCUGAAAUGAAUGAUUUAGCAUGUCUGCGCUGACAAAUGGAUACACAUCAAAAAGCAUAUUAAAAUAUUAGAUAAGUAAGAGAAAUAAUAACUUAAAGGAAAUAUGAUGGCAGUCAAUUUGUAGAUAAGGCAGGGAGGUAUUAGUGAUGCCAAAACAGGCCAAAGCUUUGGUCGAAAAAGACAAUAAAUGAAGGAGAAACAGUUGAAAGGAAUGGUCUAUAAGAAAAACAAAAAAUCUUGUCAAGCCCUGCAUUACUUUUAACUUUUUGACCAGCCAUCAUAGAGAAGAAGGCAUAGAAAUGAAAAAUAGAGGAGCCCCGUGCAGCAAGAUCACCAGACCAGCAUAGGGAAUUAGCAUAUUUGCAUCUUGAACUAGUGCACCGAUCCUAACUUGCAUGUUAAUGCAUCGUGACUGUGCAAUGCUAACAGCCCAAAUGAAUCUCUCAGGAUCACGAGCAAGGCGCUUUAUUUUCAGAGGAACACCGGAAUGCUGAGCGAGGUUAAGCACACAAACAAGUCAUAUUAGAGUGAGCAAGAACUUCUUUGAAGAAACGAGAGGUAAAAUGUUUAUUGUCAUAAUGAUAGAUGGGUUGCUUAUACCCAGUUCUUUUCCCAAAAUUCUAAGGCUCUUAAUUGUUGAUUUUUCAUAGUUGAAACAAGAUCAGGAUCCUGCAGCUGUGAGAGGUCGUCCUGCAAGGAUUGAGCAAGCUGUGAGUACAACAAGUUGCUUCCCACAUAGUUACUCUUAGAAUUAUGCUAAAAUCCCAAUCCUUUGCCAUUUAACAACCAUAACCAAUGCUUUAAUGAUAUCAUUAAGAUACAUCACUCCCACCAUUAAUUCAUCAAAGACAAAAACUGUAAUUUAGCAAAACAUAAAAGGGAACUCGAAAUAAAGUAAAAAGCAAGAAAAUACACACACCUCAGUAGCAAGAAGCAAGCUAGUGCACUCAUCAGCACUAGGUAAGAAGUCUCCAUAUAGUUGCCAAAAGUUAUCCUCCUUAUCAAAUGCAUACAAGAGAAGGCAUGCCAAUCUCAGAUCCCAAUCUGUCUGCCAAGAAAGACGCCAUGAAUUACAUUGAAGAACAGCGCAAUUAGUGUUAUAGUACAAAUCAAAUAGUGUGCUAGUGAAUUCACCAAAUUUGAACAAUAAAUGCAGAAAACUUGAAAUGAUAAUUUAAGUCUUUCAUAUAAAGGAAAAUUCGAAUUACCUCAGGAUUGGUUGAGUUUAUGAUAUCAAAUAUGGGAUGACCUAGUGGCACUAUAUCCGGGAAGAACAUCCAUGGCAACUUCUGCCUUAUUGUCAACAUCAAUUCCAAAGGUAUUUCCAUAAUUACCUGUUCAGUCAAGUAUUGAAAGCAUAGUUACCAACACAUACACACAGAUAUCAUAGCAAGAGAAUAUAUGGUAGAAAAGGGUUACAGUGAGAAUUUAGAAGCAAAUGACAAAAGUAAAACAGACUCUAGCACGACGAAGAGGUUCAACAUCUUUGGAGGCAUAGACUCCAAAACCAUCAGGACCUUCCUUAAACUCAAUUCCAUAAGCUCUCAUACUUCGAACAUAACCUAUCUUGUAGAAAUCAGGGUCCGCAGGCUCCAACUAUAAAGGAAAACAAAAGCAACUGAAUGAUUUUAAAAACCCAAAACGGAAAAAAAAAAGUAAUAGGAAGAGUGAAUUGAUAAGCCAUGAGCAUAUACCUGAGAAGGAGAUUCUUGAACUGGGGUAGGCUGAAAGAGUGGAAACGAAGGAGUUCCAACCGAAGCAUUAAUGGGUCUCAAACGAUACUUGGUCGCUGGUGCUGGUGACCACCCAUGACUAUGAAAAUGAGUACGACGAUAUUCUCUUUCUGGACAAGCAUAGGUGAAGCACCCACUGACAUGAUGAAGGGGAACAAAUGAGGCCGCCAUUGGACUUUGGAGACUACAGGAAAGUGAGUCUAUUGGAGUUCAAAAUGGAACCAUGAUUGCAUCACUGGCACUUUACUACUCCGGUACUGAUAAUUUCCUUUCGUUGUUAGGACAAGAAGAUCAAUUCUAACUCUUAAAAACUCGAAAAGAAAAAGCCAUUACAAAACGUUAUCCGCUCGCAACCAGAGACCAGGCUAGAGCAUAGUGCGAAGGGGUGGCACAAAUGGUAGCCCAGCCCAUCAUAGCCAGCCUCAGUCACGCAUGGCCCAUCCUAUCUGUUAACUUGCAUCUUCAAAAGGCCUGAUUUUCGUUUCUUACAAGCUUUGAUCCAUUUUUCUUUUAAACAGAAAAAAUGGGAUAUUUUCUAUCGAUUUUUAGAAAUCCAGAUAUUCAAGCUCAAUUUCAAUUUUUUUAACAAUAAUUUUGAUCAUAUCUAGUUUUUUUGACAUAAUGUCUAGAAUUGUACAUAGUCUCUCCCCAAUCCAUAAAUAAGAGAAUAAUACGCUUUAGCGCAUCCAAACCGACAUCCUCUUGCAUUAAUAACAAUGCACAUAUCAAUUGAACUAAAACUCAAUCGGCUCGAAUAUUUAAUUUGAAUAUUUUAAAGUUCAAUUAAUUUUAACAAAACAAGAAGAGGUUGAUAUAAUACUACUAGGCCACCAUUCAUUUGAAACUUUUUUUUGUUUUUUUUGCACACCAAAUUUGAUGCUUCACCAACAGACCACAUGCUUGUCAGGCAUUUGAAACUUAUUAUCAUAUAGUGUGAAAAUCAGGAAAAGGAGAAAUUAUUUAUAGGAUCUGAGUUGCUAUUAAUAUGGUAAUGGACCAUGAAUGGGUAGCAGUUAUGGUCCAAAAGAAUUUCUGUUGUAUUGAAUUGUUUUUGGGAUAAUUAAUUAAUCUUCUUAUUUUAUUUGAGUUACCUCUUUUCUAUUAUGUUUAUCUAUCCAUAUUAUUGCUAGAAUCUGUUCAUUAUGCUGGUGUCGUCAUGACCUAGUUGAAAAACAACCAAAAAUAUUCAAUUUUAACAUUCAAAUAAAAUAAAGGGUAUAACUGUUGUCUAAAAUAAAGUAUUAAAGUAUUUUUUUAUUAACAGUUAGUUCAUUUAUAAAAACUAACCGUAUUAUAUUUCUCAAUUUUUUAUUUCCAUUGUUAAUUGAGGGUGUAUGGGAAUUUAGGGGGUAUAAUGUGAUUGUAUUCUGUCUGAUCAUAUAAUGUUAUAAAAUUAUAAGAUUUUAAUUUAUUUCUGUCACUGAUCGUUACCUAGAACAGCACUUGAUGAAGAUAAUUAAUCAUCAAAGCAUUAUGUCGUGCAUAUAAUUGAUAAACAAUUGCCUUACGCUUCAGAGCCUUCUGCAGUUCAUCGAGAAAACUCCAUGGAUUUCAUUUUAGGUGAAAACCUAGCAGUAAGUCAAACGCGGCUCAGACUUGUAGUUGAGGAAAAUUUUCCUUCAUGGUUAAGAUUAAGUGAUCUAUAUACUUGGCGCACUUACAUGUAUAAAUUCACAAGUUCAUUAGUAAGGAGUUACUAGCUAUAAGGUGAAAAUUGAAAAGAAGAAAAAUGCAUCAUCCUCCACCACCUGCAGACGCCCAUCAUCCUCACCAAUCCCACCACCCGCAAUCGCCACCCCAUGCUUCGGCUCCAGGUCCACCACAUACUAAUCACCCUCAUUUAGAUCAUGCUCCUCCUCCAAGGCCAGGUCUUCAUGCGCCACCACUAGGACCAAGUCAUCCUCUGGGUUCAAUACAUGAGCAUCCUCAUCCAGGCUAUGCUCCUCCUCCAAGGCCAAGUCCUCAAGCGCCACCACCAGGACCUGGUCAUCCUCCAAGUCCACCACAUGCCGGGCAUCCUCCUCCAAGGCCAAGUCUCUAUGAGCCACCACCAAGACCAGGUCAUCCUCCAGGUCCACUACAUGAGCAUCCUCCAAGUCCACCACAUGUUGAGCAUCCUCCUCCAAGGCUAGAUCCCCAUGCGCCACCGUUAGGACCAGGUCAUCCUCCAAGCCCACCACAUAAUGAUCAUCUUCAUCCAGACCAUGCUCCCCCUCCAGGGCCAGGUCCCCAUGUGCCACCACCAAGACCUGGACAUCCUCCAGGUGCAUCACAUGCUGAGCAUUCUCAUCCAGGCCAUGCUCCUCCAGGACCAAGUCCCCAUACGCCACCACCAGAACCAGGUCAUCUUCCAAGUCAACCACAUAUUGGUCAUCCUCAUCCAGGCCAGAUCCCCAUGCACCACUACCAGGUCUAGGUCAUCCUCCUGAGCCACACAAGCCUCGUCCAUGACACCACACUGCAUAUCCAAUACAAUGUGAACCUUAGCUUGGUACUUGAGCGACUCUUUCACCAGUUUCGUGUUAUUUAUGUAAUAAAUUGAUAGAAACUAUUUCUACUAAAAUAAUUUAAUAAAAUAAAGUAGCAUGUUUGAUAUAUUUUCUAGGUUAUGGAGGAUAAGACUUAUAUAUAUUAAAGAGACACUACCUUUCGUUGUAGGCAUAUAAUGAACAUUUGAAGAAUAUAAUGAAAUCAAUUGAAAGAUAAAUGAUAAUAUAAUGCAUUAACAUUAAGAGAAUUAUCUAAAAAUAAAAAGUGAACAUUAACAUAAUAAAAUGAAAUAAAUUAAAAUAAGAAAACAUGAAUGUAGAUGAGACUUGUGUAUGGAAGGAAAUAAGAUAAAUUGCCAAAAUUAACUUAAGUGUAGUGAAAAAGAAAAUGUCAACAUAUUGUCACUGUUAGAAUCAAAACCACUAGUUUCAAUCUGAAGUUAGCAAUGGAUAGAUAUAAAUAAAAUCAACUUUUAUAUCAAUACUAUUUGUCGAAACCAUUUUUUUUACAAGGGGUCGAUUUUGAUUUUGAAAACAAAAACAAACAUGAGAGUCGCCACCAAUCCUUUUUGAUGAGGUGGGAUCGGGUCACCUCGAAAAAUGAUUAUUUUUUAAUGAACGGUUUGAUUUAUUAAAACAACGAUUUCGGUUUACAGAAUUCAGAAUAAACAGAUUCAAGAGUCGGUUACGUACGAGGAAGGAUUAGCACCCACGAAACGCCCAAAAUUGAUACCUAAUUGAUUAAUUAGUGUCUUAGUGUCGAAAAUUGAAAACUUUGAAGAGAUUUAAAAUAUGAUCCUUUGUUAAAUUUGCUUAAUUGAAUUUUUUUUUAGAAAAUGGCAGAUUUCACGUUAAUUGAAAAAAAGAAUUAUGUCCCGUAAGUUAGUACACAAUAUCUUAAAUCACCAAAAUGAGAAUAAACACCGAAAGUUUUAUUAUUUUAAAGGAUAUGCGAUAUCUUAAUUUUAAAAAAAAAGAAUCAUAUUUCGUAAGUUAGAACACGAUCUUUUAUUAAUUCCCGAGAUGAUUAAAAAAUUUAUGUUAAAAAAGGGUUCGUGUAUUCGGAUUUAUCGAGAAAAUCGAAACCCCGUAAGUUAGGAAAAAACUUUUUGAAUUCAGAAAUACGAAAUAUUGCUUAUUUAGAACAACAUUUUUAAUGUAUCAAGUAAAAUGUAACACGAUUUUGUAGUAAAAUGUGAAAUAAAUUACGGUGCUAAUAUACAUAACAGAAUAACAAAAAAUACAUUAAUGUGAACAACAAUAUAAAGAACGAAAAUAAAAUAAAAUAAACAAACCAAAAAUAAAAAGACAAAUAAUAAGGAUAACGAACUAAAAUUUAAAACUAAAGACUUAAUAUUAUAUAAAUAAAUAACAUAGUUUAGUGUCUGCCGUUUUUGGCACGUUUCUUUGUCUGCCAUUUUUUGGCACGUUUCUUUAUUGUUCUGAUUCAAGGUUUCUAGUUGGUUCUUGGGGCAGUUUUUUGGGGUGUUUUACUGGGGGAUUCUCGCUCAAUUUUGUUUUGUUUUGAUUGGUAGAGUGGGGUGGUUUAAUGGAGGAUGCGUUGGAUAACUUGAGGCUACUGGAUGAUGAGGAGGAAGCGUUCCAAGGGGAUGAAGAAGCGGCGGGUGGAGUUCAUCAACUCUGUUUGGUGGGUCGAUGCCUUACGGAUAGUGUUGUUCACUUUCCCUCAUUACAUAAUACGAUGGCGGAUCUCUGGCAUCCUAUAGGGGGCUUUGUAUAACGGAGUUAGGGGAGAAACGAUAUCUCUUUCAAUUUUUUCAUGAGGUUGAUCUUGAAAGGGUUCAUACCGGUAUACCGUGGUUUUUUAAUAACCAUUUACUCAUAUUACAAAAAGUUCCAGUUGGGGUAAAUCCAGCAGCGAUGAAGUUGAAUCAUUCGGAGUUUUGGAUACAGGUUCACGAGUUGCCUCCGGGGCUGAUGAGUGUGGCAAUGGCAAAACAAUUUGGGGAUUUUUGCGGUAAGUUUGUUGAGUAUGAUUCGUCCAUUCCGUCUAUGGGGGUCGAAAUUAUUUGCGUAUUCGUGUUAGCUUAAAUGUUGCUGUGCCGUUGAAGCGUAAAAAGAAAGUUCUGGUAGGGAAGUCUAUGGUUGUUUAUACUCGAUUCAAGUAUGAAAAGCUAAGUUUGUUUUGCUUUAUUUGUGGUAAGUUAGGGCACGGGGAGAGCUACUGCCCUUGCCGACUAACUAUUGAUUCAUCUAAAAUAGUUUUUGGAUGGGAUUUUUCAUUACGUGCGGAGGCUAGGCGUAGGAGUAUGGUGAUGAGUAGGUGGCUGCGGACAGUAGAUGGGUCACCAUGCCAUGAUGAAAAUUUGGCAGGUGUCAAAGAUGGUAAUUUGGCUAAUAUGGGGAAAGAUUUGGGCCUUCAUUCUAGGGGUUUUGGUAGGAAUUUGAAUUCUAAAAUUAAUCCUAAUUUAAUUCCUUUGGGAUCUGUUCAAAUUCAAGGUGUUGGUACAUUGGCUAAGGGGCGUGAUGGGAAAUUUGAUGGUAUGAGCUCUGAUGGGGUCGAUUAUGGGCCUAUGGAGUUGGCGUUGGUUGAGGAAAAUGACCCACUUACGGUUAUGGAGGGUAAAAAAUGGCAGAGAGUCGUGGAGAGUUCACAUGUUUGUAUGGACACUAAUGAGGGAUCAGGUUUAAUGAAUGUUUCGGCUAGCUCUGAUGGCCAGAGCAGCCGGGCCCGAUAAAAGUGCUAAGCUGGAAUGUUCGUGGUUUGGGGAGAUCACGAACAGUUAAAAGGCUCAAGAAUAAGUUAAGAGCUAUUAAUCCCCGCAUUUUGUUUCUUAUGGAGACAAAAUUGAGUUCGAAAAAAAUAGAAUUAGUCAGGCUAAAGUGCGGUUUUGAGAAUGGAAUUGAUGUUGGUGCCAUAGGUGCAAGAGGGGGGUUGUCGUUGGGUUGGAAAGGAAAUGCAUUGGUUCAACUUAAAAGUUUUUCUUCUUAUCACAUUGAUGUUGAAGUCCAUGAUAAUGAGUGUGGGGAUACCUGGAGGUUAACGGGGUUUUAUGGAAAUCCGGAUGAAAGGUGUAGGGCAGUCUCGUGGGAUUUGCUGCGCCAGCUGAAUCAUGGUCAGGUCAUUCCUUGGGUGGUUUUGGGAGAUUUCAAUGAGAUUACGAGCUCUUUUGAGAAGAAGGGUGGCCGGCUCCGAUCUGAUAGUCAAAUGAGGGAUUUUCGCAGGGCUCUCGAAGACUGUAACCUUAAUGAUUUAGGUUUUGUUGGUCGUUGGUUUACAUGGGAACGAGACCGGUUUGCUUCAACAAUUAUAAGAGAACGUCUGGAUCGUGGGGUAUCAUCUUUGAGUUGGGUAAAUCUAUUUCCUGGGUAUCGCCUUGAACAUUUGAGUCAUUCGUUUUCUGAUCACUGCCCCCUACUUUUGGAUACGUUGGGAAUGGCAUGGAAUAAUCAAAAUGGCUCUGCAAUGGCGUUUCAUUUAAGAAUAAUAAUAUUAAUAAUAAUGACGAUGAUAUUAAUAAAAAUAAUAAAAAUAAUCUAAAAUUUUAAAAUUAUAUAAGAGGAUAUAAAUAAAUAGAUGAUAAAAUAAAAUAAAUGUUUAUAAAAAAAUUUAGGUACAUAAAUAUAAGAGAAAUAUAAUAAUAAUAGUAAUAAUAAUGCAAAAUUAAUUAAUUUAAUAAUAUAAUAAUAACAAGUAAAUAAAUAAAUAAUAUAAAAUAAUAAUAGUAAUAAUAAUAUUAAAUUAAUUGAUUUAAUAAUAAAAUAGCAAAAAUAACAAAAACAAAUGGGCCAAAUUGAACUUUAAAACAGAAGUUUGGGGCAAAUCAGAAAUAAAUAAGACGGAAAAGGACCAAUUUGAACGCGCGAAUAACAAGAAGGGACCAAAGGAGAAAUAAUCCCCACCCUCCAAAACGCACAGCUUCGAGGUGGACCAAAUUGAAAGCAGAAACAAAUUAUAGGGCAAAAUUAAAAAAUAGAAGAAACUUGAUUGCAAACAAUUAAAAAGCGGAAGGGUUAAAAGCGCAGUUAGCCCUUUUAUUCAAAAAAGCGGAUCCUAGUAGCAGGUCGGGUUGGCGCGCGGGUCAGACACAAAACGAUGACGUUUUGGUGCCUGAGAGGCCUGCCCAAAACGGCGUCGUUUUAGAAACCUAUUUAAGUCAGUUGACAAAAAUCAUUUCGCCCUUUGUUCAGAAAAAAAAAACCUUAAAACUCUAUCCCCCUCUCUGGUUUUCUCUGGGCACUGCCCAGUAUCCGGCGAAUGGAGCCGCCGUGGCGCCAUCGUGUAAGGUGGUCGGAGGCCCCCAGGUUAGUUUCCGUCCUUUUUUUCUCUCUUUUUUAUAUUAUAUAUAUGUAUAGUUUUUUAAAUAAAAGGAAAAUAAUUUUUUUUGAAUAGGAGCAGUUUCGAAACUGGAAAAAUAAAGAAAAAAAUGACCUUCUCACGCUUCCCUUUGGUUUUUUUUUCUUCGAUCUGCUUUGCUGCUUGUUGUUCUUAUGCUUGAAUUUGUUUUUGUAUUUUACAAAAAAAAAAAAAAAACCCCCGAAGAAAAAGAUUACAAUCGGUUCAAAAUGGCUUUAUAGCCGAUUUUUACACAUUUUUUAGUCUAUUUUGCAUGCUGUCACUUCUUGCUUUUAAUCUUUGUAGGUGCAAAUGCGCGGUGCAAGUGGAGGGCGGUGCUGCAGUGGCGGUGGCAGGGCUGACAGGGGCUAGGUGCGGCGGCAGCAGGCUUGGGUUUCAGUUUUUUGCUGACACUGAGUUUAGUUUUGGGCCAAUCGGGCCGCCUAUGGUUUUAGAGUUUUGGUUUGGGCCGUUUGGGCAUGUUGUAAAUGGACUGGACUUUACUAAUUGUUUUAUUUUAUUUUAUUUUUGGGUUGUUUGUUUAGGGCCCGGGCAAUUUGGGCUGAUAACACGAUUUUUCUAUCAAUUCAUUAAAAUUUUAAAUUUUGCACUAUCAUCAUUAAUUUAUUAUUUUGAAAUUUCAAAAAUAGUUUGUAAUCGUUGUAAAGAGGAUCAAACAACAAAAGAAACCUUAAAUUCCAAGAAACACUAUAACAGUUGAGGAGAACAGAAGUUCAAAGCGAAAGGAAAAAGCAUCAUACCUCUGAAUUAAUUUAUGAAGUCAACAUAUUAGCUUAGAAUAAUGAACAAUUAAACACAUUACAAACGAAAACCAUAAAAAUACAAAAAUAAUUAGCAACCGGCAGCCCAGCCCAUUAUAGCCAGCCUCUGUCACACUUAGCCCAUCCUAUCUGUUAACUUUUACAUCGAAAUGGCCCGACUUGUGUUUCAUCCAAACUUCUAUCAAUUGAGAAAAUUUUGGGAUAAUUUCUAUAGAAAUUCUUACAAAAUUUCAGCCAAUGUUUGUUAGUAUUAGUAAAAAUAAUAAACUCUUCUAAACUCUUAGAUGUUGAUGGCCUAAUUCGAGUAAAUUUUAACUUGUACGGUUAUAGCUGUCCAAAAAAAUUAUUUUAAAGUUUAAUUAAUUGAAAUGAAAAUAAAAACAAGAUUCACAGGAUGCUACUAGGCAACUAUUUAAAGUAGUAAAAUUCAUUUGAAGUCGAUUGAGUCUUAACUUGAUUGGUAUUGGUGUUAGUGCAGGAAAAUGUAGGUUUAAGUGUGCUAAAACUCAUUAUCCUUCUAUUUAAGGGUUAAAGAUGGACUAUAGAUAAUUUUAGACAUUAUAUAAAAAAAGUAAAUAUAUUAAAAACUUAUAAUAAAUCUAAUAUUAAAAAAAAAACCUCAUUUGAAACAGUUUAGUCGCUAAUGUUAUUCUACUGGGCUAAGAAUAUGAAUGAGUUAUAUAAUUAGUAAACUUACUAUACUUUUUUAAAUUUUAAAAAUUCACUCUUAAUUACAAUAAUUAUUGUUAAAUUCAUUAAUUACAAUGUCGUAUAUUUCUAUAACUAUUAUAUUUUAAUGACUAUUGUUCGUCAAGAUUGAAAUUUCAAAUAUUAAAAAAAAAUAUAAGAGCUAAAAAUAAUUAAAUUAGAGUCGAUUGAGUCUUAAUUUGUUGGCAUUGACCUUGUUACCAAUAUAUAGAUUUGAGUUUGAGCGCGUUGAAGCGUGUUUAUUCCCUUAUUUAAAGGUUGAGAAAAGGGUUAUGUAUAGUUAUAAACAUCUUCUAAAAAAUAAUUUAGAAUUUUUUUUACAAUGACACAUAUGAACAAAUAAAACUAAAAUUAAUAAUUAAAUUAUAGGGAGAUUAAAACAUUUUCCUGUCACCCUUUUUUUUUUAUAGCAGCAGUUGAUGAAGAUAAUGUUAUACUGAAAGGUGUCAUCAAAGCAUUGCAUCGUACAUACAACCAAAAAAACAAAUGACUUUCUGCUGUUUACAUUUUUGACCAUCCAGGGAACUCCAUGAAUGUUUUUUUGGUGAAAACCUACCACCACCGGCAAAUCAAACUUGGCUUUGACUUGUAGUUAAAAAGCGAAGUCCUUCAUGGUUAAAGGGGUGGGGGGGGGGGGGGGCACUUACAAGUAUAAAUUCACAACUUCCCUUGUAACACAAUCUAGCUAGCUACAAGGGAAAUUUGAAAAGAAGAGAAAAAAUGCAUAAUCCACCACCACCAGACCCCCACCAUCCUCAUCAUCCCCACCACCCACAUCCGCAACCCCAUGCUCCGCCUCCAGGUCCGCCACAUGCUGAUCAUCCUCCUCCAGGCCAUGCUCCUCCUCCUGGACCAGGCCCCCAUGCGCCACCGCCAGGACCAGGUGGUCCAGGUCAUCAUCCCGAGCCACACAAGCCUCGUCCAUGAUCCUUAUACCGUGUAUCCAAUAUUAUGUAAGCUUAGGCUGGGUACCGUACUUAUAAAACUCUAUCACCUACUUGGUGUUAGGCUUUAUGUAAUAAAUUAAGAAAACCUAUUUCUACUAUAAUAAUGAUAAAGUAGCACGUUUGAUGUAAUUUCUACGUUAUGGAGGCCAUGGCUUAGAUGGGCACUGGGCACUUUUAUUUUUGCUUAAUUUGUCAUGAGCAUGAGGAUUAGUUUGUCUUAAAUUGCUCUUUUUCUUUUACUGGUAUGGCUGAUUAUCAAUUUUAUUUCUUUUGUGUUUAAACAAAAUACCACCUGGACAUCAAAUAAUUGUGAUUAAAGGUGAAGAUAUGACCAACGAGCCCAUUUGGGUUUACGUUCGUAAUUGGGCUUGGCUUAUUUAUUACUAAUAGAUCGGCUCUUGUAUCCACUAAUACAAGUUGGGAUUCGGCUUAAUCUUUUAAGUAAUUAAAAAAUUUUCCUUCUUUUUCUAACAUAUAUACAUAUAAAUAUUUAAAAAAAAUCGUAUGAAUUUUUUAGAAUUUACAUGCUAAUUGAAAAUAUGAUAAAGUAUAGUAAAAAAAUAAUUUAAAAAUAGAUCACUAUACUUAUAAAAUAAGAAAAUGUUGAAAACUGUGCAUCAAACAGUUAAACAAAUAUUGUAAGAAGAUAAUAGUUAAUGUGCAUCUCAAUUUUAUAUAUUUAUUUAAUGCAUCAAAAGAAUAUUAAAAUAUAAAGGUAUGGAACAACAAAUGCUGUCUAUGAAAGUGCAAGUUUUUUUGGUUCUUUUUCCUUCUAUCUUUUUUCUGUAUGUUCGGUUUUGUUUUUAGGCCAAGUGCCAAAUAAGUGAAUGUUAAACUUACAAAGAAAUAACCAAAGAAACACGGUGCGCCUAAUUGUAUUCUAUUUUUGAAUGUUCAUAUUGCCGUCUAAUAAUACGGGUUUUUUUAUUCUUGAAAACAAAUAAAAUGUAUAUUUUCUAUGAAUCAAUGGAAUUGGACCGUCAUCACUCUGAUAACAAAACACACCAUAUACAAUUUUAUUUAAAAAAUUCACCAAUUAAAAUGUUUUAUUAUUUUAAGAUUCUUUUGUAAUUUUAAAAUUACAACUUUAAAUAAAAAUUAUUUUUAAUGAUUUACUAACAUUGUCUCGUGUAUAAAAAUUACUAACUCGUUAUCUUUUAACGUUCAAGUUGGUAGACAAAAUGUUUUAAGGAAAUCAAAUUUUUCAAUAAAAGAGUUUAAAUUAUUAAGAAAACACUUUUUUUGACCAUUAAAGUUGUACUAAUUCAUGCUUAAUUAUCCAUCAGUAAAAUAGGGCAGUUGGUAAUUUUUUUUAUUGACACAGAAUUCAAUUCUUGCUAGAUAUAAUUCAUAACUUGACUUUAAAUAUAACAAUGAUUCUUAAUUAAAAUUUUAAAAAAAUGAUAUAAAAAUCAAUAUUACUAACACGCAAGAAAUGCCUUAUGGACAACUUGCCACAAGUACAGGCCAACAAAACAGAUUCCUUGUCAUUUUCAACCUUACGUAAUUUAUUUAUGGUCAAUAUUUUUAACUAAUUAAUUUGGAAAUAGCUUUUACUUUCUUUCUUUUUCUUUUAUUCUUUUUAACUUUUUCCUUCAGAUUGCUUCAAAUAAAAGGAAGAGAAAAGCAUAUUAAAUCUUGCAAAAGAAAGAAAGAGGUUUCAUAGAAUUAAGCUACUCUUUAGAGUCACAUAUGUUUUGAGGCUCAAAUUGUUGCACCCAAUCAAAUUAAACAUAGUAUUAGUAUCUGAUUUUAUGUAAUCAUAGCUAAAGAUUGUUGAAAAAAAUAAAUAUCAUAGCUUAAGAUUAGAGGUGUACAUGAGUUGGGCCAGGUUCAACUAAAAAUUUAGGUCCGUUUGUUAGGCUUGGGCCUGACCCAGCCCGUCUAUAUUAAUUUUUAUAUCAUUUUAAAAUAUAUAUAAUACAUCAAAAAUACUAAAAACAUCAAAAUAAAUAUUUCCUAACAAAUUAAAAAUAAAUUUUAAAAAAUAUGUAUACUGAUAGAUGCAACUUAACAAGCAAAUGCCUCUAAAAUAAUAACAAAAUUAACAAUAAAAUAAGUUUUAUACAAUAUUCAAAUAAUAAUAACAAAAUAGCAGCAACAUAAUAGUAAAAUGGUCGCAAAAUAGAGAGAAAACAACAAGAAAUUAAUAUUGAAAAAAAAGGAUUUUUUUUGUCCUUUAGUGAAUUCGGGCCGGGCCUGGCCGUAGCCAAAAAUGCCUUACCUAAGGCCCGACCCAUUUUUUAAACGGGCUUUAUAUUUUUGUCCAAGUCUAUUUUUCGAGCCUAUAUUUUAACCCAAACCCUCUCACUUUUUGAGUGGGCCUUCGUGCAGGGCCGGGUGGCCCGACCCAUGAGCAGGCCUACUUAAGAUUAAUGCAUGUUAUUAAUUCACUUAAUUAAUACAUUAUUUUUCAAUAAUUGUUUUAAAUACAUUUGAAUUAUGGGAAGAGGCUUUAAAGAUAUUGUAUCAUAUAAUUUAAUUUAAUUAAAAAAUAAUAGUAAGAGUCAAAUUGAUAAAAAAAUAUAAAUGUUGAGUGAUAAAUUUAAUAUAGCAUUAGUAACAUUUAAAAGUCUAAUGAGCAUUAAUUUAAUUGACAUAAUUACAAUUGCAACAAUUAAGUAAUGUGUAAUUGACAAAAAUAUUAUUAUUAAAGGUCGCUUUGACAUUAUAUCAUGUAUUAAGAAAAACUUUAAAAUUAAGUGAACCUUAAUUUAGUUGUAAGUAAAAUCUAUUUUUUAAAUCAAACCUGACGCGGAUAAAUGAGAAAAGAGAUGGACCCUAACACAUAAUUUUGUCAUGAGCUCCUACUAAAAUAUUGUCAUUCAAAAUCUCCAAUCGAAGAUCCGAACGGUGAUCAAAUUACCGAUACAGUUGAAGGCGAUGCGGGUGAUGAACGGCAGCAUAGAAAGAACAAAGAAGAUGAAAGGCGGUGGAUAAGAUUGAUACCGUAGCGAGAAAGAAAAGUGGAGGAAGCAAUAUUGUGGGGUCAGCUUUUGGUUAAUUUAAUUUCCAUUGUUGGUAAUAAGAUUCUUGAGAUUUAAGAAUACAGAAAAGCCAAGUAUGAUGGGCUAAGAAAAGAACCUACCUUUUGGUUAGUGACCAUUCCUACAAAGACAACUAUCUCCAUAGUCCAUACCAAACAUUGAACCUUUUAACAUAAAAUAUACUCAAACCAGAUUUUUUUCUUUUAAUCUCCCAAGAUAUUCUCUUUUUCUUUAUUUAGUUUUUGUAUCACUCCCUUUAUGGGAAAAAAAAGCCAAUUAAAGAGAAAAUCCAACGUCAUUUUCUUUGCAUCAUCGUCAUCUUUUCCCUAUCUUAUUCCCUGUCUUGUAAUUAAACACUUGGGAUCAUCGUUGCCUAAAAAAACUUCAUUUUCAAUUUUAUUUUUGUCAUAAUUCUACCACCACUAAAAUUAAACAAAUCCCUUGAUUUAACAUGUUCACUUUGUUUAUGAUCAUCAUUAAUUUUGCAUUAAAAAACAAUCUCACGUUUAUAUCUUUUUCCUGGAACUUCUUCUUCUUCCACUUUCCUAGCAAACACGCAUGAAUUUCAUAGUAAGAAAAGAAAAUAAAUUAACAUUUAACAUCAUAUUAUAUUUAAGUUCAAGAUGGACUUGCAGAAUAUAUAUUAUAUUUAAGUGGAGAAAAUAGGGUGAGACAGGUCAAUAUUAGAGGGAGGACAUUUCCUGUGCCGUUGAUGGUGAUGGCAACAUUUGAAAAGGAGAAAAGGGUUUAUGGGAAAACGAAAGCGUUAAGAAAAAACACAACCAUUUGCAACGGAACUGAUUUUCAGCCACGCUUUCAUAAGAAAAAUCUGGAAUUCUUAUUUCAGUCACAUUAUAAUUAUUAUAUUAUAAUAAUAAUUACGAAGAAGGUGUUUUUAUUUUUAUUUUUUAAAAGAAAGAAAGUGGCAACCAAUCCAAUUAUAUACUCUCAACGAAUCUUCUCAGUUCUCCCCACUCCAUAAUUUUCUUUUGAUUCUCACUUCCUUUUCUCUAUUUGUGUCUAGUUUUCCUCCUGUUACUUUGGAUACGCUUACCAUUUCUUUUCCUUUCCUUUAUUAUCAUCAAUAGUACCAUGUGUGUUGAAGAUAUAGAACAGGUCAGCCAAGAAAUGGAGGACCUUGGUGAUGGCAGUACCAACAAAAAGCCUUGGCCUUUACUUUCUAGGGGUGAUUUCUUGAGUACCCAGAUGGAGAAUUGGGUUCACAAAGACUCUCCCUUUCCCCUGGCCGUGGUAGCUGGCAGCAAUAGAGUAAGUACCCAAACUUCAUUUCCUGCAUCAUUUUUGCUUUUGAUAAGACAGUUUCUUAUGAUUAUGUUUUGGGUAUUUCUUGUUUUUGUUAAUCCUUUGCUUCAAGUUGAGAAAUUUGUCCCAGUAAAUGUGCUUUUGGCAGCAUUAAGCUUUAUGGAAAAUAGCCAAUUUUUUGUACCUUCUUCCCUGUAUAUGUGCACUUUUCAUGUUUUGAUGGAUUACAAAAGUUGCAUCAGCUACUUAUAUUCAGUUUGGUCAGGUUGAUGAUCAAUCAUGUUUGUAUAUUUUCACUUACAUUCAGCUUCUGACUGUGUUGGAAGUGGAUUCUGAUUAUAUUAGGAGAGACAGGAACUGACAUCGUUCUAAACAUUGAAUAUAACACAAUAGUGGGGUUGUGAUCAAUAGUAUAUAAACUUUGAUAUUCAGGGUCUAACUGUCAAUAUAGUUGAAGAAUUUUCACAAGUUAGCUUUAUAUUUUGUAGGGUUUUGCUAUUAGCACUCAGAUAGUGUUGUCUUUUUUCUAUAGAUUGGUAUUCAUGAUAUUACAUUGCUAUUCUUUGUUUAAGGCUAUAUUCUUCUUUUAUUCAGUUGUAUCUGGAUAGGAGUAGGUUCGGUUAUUACCAUUGACAACGCUUCUGCUGUUUCUUUUAUGGUAUUUCACUAAUUGUCUUGUUUCUCAUUUGUGUUUCAUUCAGCUGGAAAGUAUUUCUGAGGAAACAGUUGCCACAGACAAAAAACAUGACCUGUUGACAAAUU
rnacentral:lncRNA from 1 species